rnacentral:lncRNA from 1 species
GGAAACAAUGGCUUGAAACGAAAUAAAUCUUUGUUUGUGAUGAGUUAUGUGCAGCUUCGGACCCAAGUACAUGCAUUGGUUGGAAAUUCAUUGUUCAAUGCAUUUGGUUCUGCUUUGAAAAGAAUCACAGAGCUGAGUAUAUGUACCAUGUUAUAUAAAAGGUUAAGUGGUUGUUAGGACCUAGUCCUUAAUUGAGAUCCUUGUCAGAUAUUCCUGGCCAUAUGUUUUCCUAUUUGUCAUAUUAAAGAAUUGUUUUAAUUUAAUAUGUUCAUACGGGAAUUAAGGAACAUUAUUCUCAUACAAAAAAUACACAUUCAUAAAAAAAAUGGAAUUUAUUACAAAGUAUAAUCAUAAGAUAUACUUGAAUUGUUCUGGACCUCACUUCUGAAAUGGGUAUAUGUUAAUGGAAUCCUUCUCUGAAUACGGGACAAACAUAUUAGUAGUGGUAGACCCCAAUGUCCAAUGAUCUUCAAUUUAUACCGAAUAUUGACUGUCAAAAAAAUGCUAACAUUCCAAUUUUCAAUAACAGUUAACAGCAAAUACAUUAUCACAAUAACAGAUAACAAAAAAACUAAAAGCCCAAUAACAGCUAACAAAGAAUAAGACAAUAACAGCUAACAGCAAAUAUAUUUUCAAAAUAACAGAUAACGAAGAAUUAAAUUGCCCCAUAACAGCAUAACAGUUAAACCCCUUGCCCCCCCUCU